GCCUCAGUAGCUCAGCCGGAAGAGCGCUUGCUUCGUAAGCAAGAGGUCGGGGGUUCAAUGCCCUCCUGAGGCU
rnacentral:tRNA from 1 species